rnacentral:misc_RNA from 1 species
GAUGAAGAACGCAGCGAAAUGCGAUAAGUAGUGUGAAUUGCAGAAUUCAGUGAAUCAUCGAAUCUUUGAACGCACAUUGCGCCCUUUGGUAUUCCUUAGGGCAUGCCUGUUCGAGCGUCAUUUAAACCUUCAAGCUCAGCUUGGUGUUGGGUGACUGUCCGCUCCACCGCGGACUCGCCUCAAAAUUAUUGGCGGCCGGUACAUUGGCUUCGAGCGCAGCAGAAACGCGAACUCGGGCCCGUCGUAUUGGCUCCCAGAAGCUAUCUUCACAAUUUUGACCUCGGAUCAGGUAGGGAUACCCGCUGAACUUAAGCAUAUCAAUAAGCGGAGGA